rnacentral:rRNA from 1 species
AGUGGGGGAUAACGUACCGAAAGGUACGCUAAUACCGCAUAUGCCCUGAGGGGGAAAGGCGGGGAUCGCAAGACCUGUCGCUUUCGGAGUGGCCGAUAUCGGAUUAGCUAGUUGGUGAGGUAAAGGCUCACCAAGGCGACGAUCCGUAGCUGGUCUGAGAGGACGACCAGCCACACUGGAACUGAGACACGGUCCAGACUCCUACGGGAGGCAGCAGUGGGGAAUUUUGGACAAUGGGGGCAACCCUGAUCCAGCCAUACCGCGUGAGUGAAGAAGGCCUUCGGGUUGUAAAGCUCUUUCGGACAGAAAGAAAUCGUGCGGGCUAAUACCCCGUAUGGAUGACGGUACUGUAAGAAGAAGCACCGGCUAACUACGUGCCAGCAGCCGCGGUAAUACGUAGGGUGCGAGCGUUAAUCGGAAUUACUGGGCGUAAAGCGUGCGCAGGCGGUUUUGUAAGACAGGUGUGAAAUCCCCGGGCUUAACCUGGGAACUGCAUUUGUGACUGCAAGGCUAGAGUGCGGCAGAGGGGGGUAGAAUUCCA